rnacentral:rRNA from 1 species
UGUACGUACAAGCAGUGGGAGCACGCUUAGGCGUGUGACUGCGUACCUUUUGUAUAAUGGGUCAGCGACUUAUAUUCUGUAGCAAGGUUAACCGAAUAGGGGAGCCGAAGGGAAACCGAGUCUUAACUGGGCGUUAAGUUGCAGGGUAUAGACCCGAAACCCGGUGAUCUAGCCAUGGGCAGGUUGAAGGUUGGGUAACACUAACUGGAGGACCGAACCGACUAAUGUUGAAAAAUUAGCGGAUGACUUGUGGCUGGGGGUGAAAGGCCAAUCAAACCGGGAGAUAGCUGGUUCUCCCCGAAAGCUAUUUAGGUAGCGCCUCGUGAAUUCAUCUCCGGGGGUAGAGCACUGUUUCGGCAAGGGGGUCAUCCCGACUUACCAACCCGAUGCAAACUGCGAAUACCGGAGAAUGUUAUCACGGGAGACACACGGCGGGUGCUAACGUCCGUCGUGAAGAGGGAAACAACCCAGACCGCCAGCUAAGGUCCCAAAGUCAUGGUUAAGUGGGAAACGAUGUGGGAAGGCCCAGACAGCCAGGAUGUUGGCUUAGAAGCAGCCAUCAUUUAAAGAAAGCGUAAUAGCUCACUGGUCGAGUCGGCCUGCGCGGAAGAUGUAACGGGGCUAAACCAUGCACCGAAGCUGCGGCAGCGACGCUUAUGCGUUGUUGGGUAGGGGAGCGUUCUGUAAGCCUGUGAAGGUGUGCUGUGAGGCAUGCUGGAGGUAUCAGAAGUGCGAAUGCUGACAUAAGUAACGAUAAAGCGGGUGAAAAGCCCGCUCGCCGGAAGACCAAGGGUUCCUGUCCAACGUUAAUCGGGGCAGGGUGAGUCGACCCCUAAGGCGAGGCCGAAAGGCGUAGUCGAUGGGAAACAGGUUAAUAUUCCUGUACUUGGUGUUACUGCGAAGGGGGGACGGAGAAGGCUAUGUUGGCCGGGCGACGGUUGUCCCGGUUUAAGCGUGUAGGCUGGUUUUCCAGGCAAAUCCGGAAAAUCAAGGCUGAGGCGUGAUGACGAGGCACUACGGUGCUGAAGCAACAAAUGCCCUGCUUCCAGGAAAAGCCUCUAAGCAUCAGGUAACAUCAAAUCGUACCCCAAACCGACACAGGUGGUCAGGUAGAGAAUACCAAGGCGCUUGAGAGAACUCGGGUGAAGGAACUAGGCAAAAUGGUGCCGUAACUUCGGGAGAAGGCACGCUGAUAUGUAGGUGAAGUCCCUCGCGGAUGGAGCUGAAAUCAGUCGAAGAUACCAGCUGGCUGCAACUGUUUAUUAAAAACACAGCACUGUGCAAACACGAAAGUGGACGUAUACGGUGUGACGCCUGCCCGGUGCCGGAAGGUUAAUUGAUGGGGUUAGCCGCAAGGCGAAGCUCUUGAUCGAAGCCCCGGUAAACGGCGGCCGUAACUAUAACGGUCCUAAGGUAGCGAAAUUCCUUGUCGGGUAAGUUCCGACCUGCACGAAUGGCGUAAUGAUGGCCAGGCUGUCUCCACCCGAGACUCAGUGAAAUUGAACUCGCUGUGAAGAUGCAGUGUACCCGCGGCAAGACGGAAAGACCCCGUGAACCUUUACUAUAGCUUGACACUGAACAUUGAGCCUUGAUGUGUAGGAUAGGUGGGAGGCUUAGAAGUGUGGACGCCAGUCUGCAUGGAGCCGACCUUGAAAUACCACCCUUUAAUGUUUGAUGUUCUAACGUUGACCCGUAAUCCGGGUUGCGGACAGUGUCUGGUGGGUAGUUUGACUGGGGCGGUCUCCUCCUAAAGAGUAACGGAGGAGCACGAAGGUUGGCUAAUCCUGGUCGGACAUCAGGAGGUUAGUGCAAUGGCAUAAGCCAGCUUGACUGCGAGCGUGACGGCGCGAGCAGGUGCGAAAGCAGGUCAUAGUGAUCCGGUGGUUCUGAAUGGAAGGGCCAUCGCUCAACGGAUAAAAGGUACUCCGGGGAUAACAGGCUGAUACCGCCCAAGAGUUCAUAUCGACGGCGGUGUUUGGCACCUCGAUGUCGGCUCAUCACAUCCUGGGGCUGAAGUAGGUCCCAAGGGUAUGGCUGUUCGCCAUUUAAAGUGGUACGCGAGCUGGGUUUAGAACGUCGUGAGACAGUUCGGUCCCUAUCUGCC